rnacentral:rRNA from 1 species
GUUAUAUGGUCAAGUGAAGAAGCGCAUACGGUGGAUGCCUUGGCAGUCAGAGGCGAUGAAAGACGUGGUAGCCUGCGAUAAGCUUUGGGGAGUCGGCAAACAGACUGUGAUCCAGAGAUCUCUGAAUGGGGGAACCCACUCAGCAUAAGCUGAGUAUCUUGUACUGAAUACAUAGGUGCAAGAGGCGAACCAGGGGAACUGAAACAUCUAAGUACCCUGAGGAAAAGAAAUCAACCGAGAUUCCCUUAGUAGUGGCGAGCGAA